GACGAACGCUGGCGGCGUGCCUAAUACAUGCAAGUCGAACGCUUUUUCUUUCACCGGAGCUUGCUCCACCGAAAGAAAAAGAGUGGCGAACGGGUGAGUAACACGUGGGUAACCUGCCCAUCAGAAGGGGAUAACACUUGGAAACAGGUGCUAAUACCGUAUAACACUAUUUUCCGCAUGGAAGAAAGUUGAAAGGCGCUUUUGCGUCACUGAUGGAUGGACCCGCGGUGCAUUAGCUAGUUGGUGAGGUAACGGCUGACCAAGGCAACGAUGCAUAGCCGACCUGAGAGGGUGAUCGGCCACACUGGGACUGAGACACGGCCCAGACUCCUACGGGAGGCAGCAGUAGGGAAUCUUCGGCAAUGGACGAAAGUCUGACCGAGCAACGCCGCGUGAGUGAAGAAGGUUUUCGGAUCGUAAAACUCUGUUGUUAGAGAAGAACAAGGAUGAGAGUAGAACGUUCAUCCCUUGACGGUAUCUAACCAGAAAGCCACGGCUAACUACGUGCCAGCCGCCGCAGUAA
rnacentral:rRNA from 1 species